UGGUCAAGUUAUUAAGGGUGCAGGGCGGAUGCCUUGGCACUAGGAGCCGAUGAAGGACGUGAUAAGCUGCGAUAAGCUUCGGGGAGUUGCACGUAAACUUUGAUCCGAAGAUUUCCGAAUGAGGAAACUCACUUAGAGUAAUGUCUAAGUAUCAUUAAGUGAAUACAUAGCUUAAUGAGGGGAACUCAGGGAACUGAAACAUCUAAGUACCUGAAGGAAGAGAAAGAAAUUCGAUUCCGUAAGUAGCGGCGAGCGAACGCGGAUUAGCCCAAACCAAUAAAGUUUUCUUUAUUGGGGUUGCGGACAUAUCAUAACGAAGAGGUAUCGUAAUUGAAGAGGUUUGGAAAGACCCACCACAGAAGGUAAUAGUCCUGUAUGUUAAACGAGAAGACUUCAGAUAUGAUCCAGAGUACCACGGGACACGUGAAACCCUGUGGGAAGCAGGAGGGACCACCCUCCAAGGCUAAAUACUACCUAGUGACCGAUAGCGUAUAGUACCGUGAGGGAAAGGUGAAAAGAACCCCGGGAGGGGAGUGAAAUAGAACCUGAAACCCUGCACUUACAAGCUGUGGAAGCACAUUUCUUGUGUGACCGCGUACUUUUUGUAGAACGGGCCAACGAGUUACGUUAAGUAGCAAGGUUAAGCACUUAAGGUGCGGAGCCGUAGCGAAAGCGAGUUUUAACUGAGCGUUCAGUUACUUGACGUAGACCCGAAACCGGGCGACCUACCCAUGAGCAGGAUGAAGCGAAAGUAAAAUUUCGUGGAGGUCCGAACCCACGAGCGUUGAAAAGCUCGGGGAUGACUUGUGGGUAGCGGUGAAAUUCCAAUCGAGCCCGGAGAUAGCUGGUUCUCCCCGAAAUAGCUUUAGGGCUAGCCUCAAGGUGAGAGAUACGGAGGUAGAGCACUGAAUGUCCUAGGGGGUAUUGCACCUACCGAAGACUAUCAAACUCCGAAUGCCGUCAUCUUAUACUUGGGAGUCAGACUGUGGGUGAUAAGAUUCAUAGUCGAAAGGGCAACAGCCCAGAUCGUCAGCUAAGGUCCCUAAAUGUAAGUUAAGUGGUAAAGGAUGUGGGAUUGCACAGACAACCAGGAUGUUGGCUUAGAAGCAGCCACUCAUUCAAAGAGUGCGUAAUAGCUCACUGGUCGAGUGAUCCUGCGCCGAAGAUUUCCGGGGCUAAAACUUACUACCGAAGCUACGGCAUCAGUAAUGAUGGGUAGGGGAGCUUCCCAUACGGGUUGAAGCAUGACCGUAAGGACAUGUGGACAGUAUGGGAGUGAGAAUGUUGGCAUGAGUAGCGAGAUGUGGGUGAGAAUCCCACAGGCCGUAAACCCAAGGUUUCCAGGGGAAGGUUCGUCCGCCCUGGGUUAGUCGGGACCUAAGCUGAGGCCGAAAGGCGUAGGUGAUGGACAACAGGUUGAUAUUCCUGUACUACCGAUAACCGUUUGAGAGAAGGGAUGACACAGUAGGAUAAGCUAAGCACACUGUUGGUUAUGUGUGCCCAAGCAUUGAGGCAGUCAAAGUAGGCAAAUCCGCUUUGAUAAUGCUGGGAUGUGAUGGGGAGCGAAAUUUAGUAGCGAAGUAGCUGAUUUCACACUGUCAAGAAAAGUCUCUAUCGAGGUUAAAGGUACCCGUACCGCAAACCGACACAGGUGGGUGAGGAGAGUAUCCUAAGGCCAGCGAGAGAACUGUUGUUAAGGAACUCGGCAAAAUGACCCCGUAACUUAGGGAUAAGGGGUGCCACCAUCAGGUGGCCGCAGAGAAUAGGCCCAAGCGACUGUUUACCAAAAACAUAGGUUUCUGCUAAGUCGCAAGACGAUGUAUAGGAGCUGACGCCUGCCCGGUGCUGGAAGGUUAAGGGGAUCUGUUAGAGCAAUCGAAGCAGUGAACUUAAGCCCCAGUAAACGGCGGCCGUAACUAUAACGGUCCUAAGGUAGCGAAAUUCCUUGUCGGGUAAGUUCCGACCCGCACGAAAGGCGUAACGAUUUGGGCACUGUCUCAACAACAGACUCGGUGAAAUUGUAAUUCCGGUGAAGAUGCCGGAUACCUGCGACAGGACGGAAAGACCCCAUGGAGCUUUACUGUAGCUUGACAUUGGGUCUUGGUACUACAUGUACAGGAUAGGUGGGAGGCUUUGAAACCAGGACGCCAGUUUUGGCGGAGCCAUCCUUGGGAUACCACCCUUGUAGUACUGGGACUCUAACCAUAGGCCAUGAAUCUGGUCUUGGGACACUGUCAGGUGGGCAGUUUGACUGGGGCGGUCGCCUCCCAAAAGGUAACGGAGGCGCUCAAAGGUUCUCUCAGUACGGUCGGAAAUCGUACGUAGAGUGUAAAGGCAAAAGAGAGCUUGAUUGCAAGACAUACAGGUCGAGCAAGGAUGAAAAUCGGACUUAGUGAUCCGGUGGUUCUGCGUGGAAGGGCCAUCGCUCAACGGAUAAAAGCUACCCUGGGGAUAACAGGCUUAUCUCCCCCAAGAGUCCACAUCGACGGGGAGGUUUGGCACCUCGAUGUCGGCUCAUCACAUCCUGGGGCUGUAGUAGGUCCCAAGGGUUGGGCUGUUCGCCCAUUAAAGUGGUACGCGAGCUGGGUUCAGAACGUCG
rnacentral:rRNA from 1 species